rnacentral:rRNA from 1 species
UUGUGCUAAGGUAGCAUAAUCAUUUGUCUUUUAAUUAAAGACUAGAACAAAAGAUUGAACAUUUUAAUUAAUAUAUCCAAACUAAUUAAUUAAAUUUAUUUUAAAUGUAAAAAAACAUUUAUAAAUUAGAAAGACGAUAAGACCCUAUUAAACUUAACUUAAGUUAAACUGGGGCAGUUAAUUAAUUAUCAUUUUAAUUUAAAUACAAAAACAAAUAGAUCCUAUAAAAUAGAUUAAAUGAUCAAGUUACUAUAGGGAUAACAGCGUAAUAUUAAUUAAAAGACCUUAUUAAAAUAAAAGAUUACGACCUCGAUGUUGAAUUAAUAACCUAUAUAGUUGCAAUAAACAAUAAAGGAA